rnacentral:rRNA from 1 species
UACGUAGGGGGCGAGCGUUGUCCGGAUUUAUUGGGCGUAAAGAGCGUGUAGGCGGCCAGGUAGGUCUGCUGUGAAACUCGAGGCUCAACCUCGAGACGUCGGCGGAAACCAUCUGGCUAGAGUCCGGAAGAGGAGAGUGGAAUUCCUGGUGUAGCGGUGAAAUGCGCAGAUAUCAGGAAGAACACCCGUGGCGAAAGCGGCUCUCUGGAACGGUACUGACGCUGAGACGCGAAAGCGUGGGAGCGAA